rnacentral:rRNA from 1 species
GGUAGAAUGCAGUCGAACGGGACAUUAUUUGUAGCAAUACAGAUGAUGUUCAGUGGCGCAAGGGUGCGUAACACGUGAGCAAUCUGCCUUGAAGUGGGGAAUAGCUCGCCGAAAGGCGAAUUAAUACCGCAUGUGGUAGCAAUACUAAAGCCGGGGCAACCUGGCGCUUCUUGAUGAGCUCGCGGCCUAUCAGCUAGUUGGUGAGGUAAUAGCUCACCAAGGCUGUGACGGGUAGCUGGUCUGAGAGGACGACCAGCCACACUGGAACUGAGACACGGUCCAGACACCUACGGGUGGCAGCAGUCGAGAAUUUUUCUCAAUGGGGGAAACCCUGAAGGAGCGACGCCGCGUGGAGGAUGAAGGUCUUCGGAUUGUAAACUCCUGUCAUUGGUGAACAAAGUCACAAGUUAACUGCUUUGUGAUCUGCUAGUAGCCGAAGAGGAAGGGACGGCUAACUCUGUGCCAGCAGCCGCGGUAAUACAGAGGUCCCAAGCGUUGUUCGGAUUCAUUGGGCGUAAAGGGUGCGUAGGCGGUGGGGUAAGUUGGAUGUGAAAUCUUGGGGCUUAACCUCAAAAUUGCAUUCAAUACUGCUCCGCUCGAGUUCUGUAGAGGAGAUUGGAAUUUACGGUGUAGCAGUGAAAUGCGUAGAUAUCGUAAGGAACGCCAGUGGCGAAAGCGAAUCUCUGGGCAGCAACUGACGCUGAGGCACGAAGGCCAGGGGAGCAAACGGGAUUAGAUACCCCGGUAGUCCUGGCAGUAAACGGUGCGCGUUUGGUGUGGGCAGGUUCGACCCUGUCCGCGCCGAAGCUAACGCAUUAAACGCGCCGCCUGGGAAGUACGAUCGCAAGAUUAAAACUCAAAGAAAUUGACGGGGGCCCGCACAAGCGGUGGAGUAUGUGGCUUAAUUCGAUGCAACGCGAAGAACCUUACCUAGGCUUGACAUGCAUCUCUAAAUCGGUGAAAACCCGCCAAGUGUAACAAUACACAAU